UCGCGAGGAGUAUUAAGGCUCACCAUCAAUCUGCUCCAGCGAAUUCCACCUCAGAGCAGGAUUCUAACAAACACGACUCCAAGGCAGCAGAUGCACUAACAAACUCUGCACAAAGGAAUAUUGCAGAUGAUUCUAGAAGGCUCGUACAGUGCUGAGAUCUACUGUACGGUUCUCGAUCAUUUUCUCUCGCUUUUGACAGUCGCCCUCUCUCUUUCUCUCUGCUUCGCCAGGUACUCUCUUCCUAUCUCUCUCCGUCUUAGGGUUUUAAUUGGAACUUUUUUUUUUCUCUGUUUUUUGGCUUUUAAUCUCAUUGAAAUUAAUUGGGUUUGUUUAAAAGAAAAGGUAGGGAAGGUAGAAGUUAGAAAAUAAAAUGGAUUUUCUGGUGCUUGGUAUUGUAGAGUUUUUAACCCGCUAAAGUGCGAGUCUCCACCCAUUGUGGUAUUACUAUUAGGCUAGGUUGAACUAAACUCUGAUUUUUUAGGUAGAUGCAUUUCUGUUGUUCUAUUCAUGGAUUUAUCGAUGUGAAUGAUUCAUCGCGAGAUUUAUAAAAUUCACUGCUUGAUUUUAUGCAUUGGAUUAAAGAUGUUUUUCACUUGGUAGAAGUACGUAGUUUGUCUAAUGUGAGUUUCUAAAGGAGAAAAUUGAGAUGGCUUUCAGGGCAUUUGGAGUUUGAAUUAGUUUAGACUUAGUCGAUAUUCUUAGGGCUUUAUGCUUUGUCGAGGUCCUUAUGCGCGAGCCCCCACAAGAGUGCCGACUGGAAAUAAUGUUACUAUCGAUAAUAACGGUACAGAGUUUACUUUUUUGGUGUAUUUCUAGAAAAGUCACUGAAAGAUCUAUGAGGAUAGGGAGGGAAAACAAAUGAGGUUAUGGAAAUUGUCCCUUUCUCGAAUUCCCCGCCCAAAAAAAAAAAAAAGAGUUGUGUGAUGGUGUUUUUUAACUGCGUUUUUUGAUAGGGAUAUUGAACUACAUUAGAUGAUAUUCAAUUCAUUAAAAAGUAAUUGGCUAGGCAGUAUUCAAAUUGUUGUAUUGCUCACUUAGACUAUUCAUGGCGAGAAAUAGCAUAGUUUCCAGUGCUAGAGCUGUGAAGAUAACUUUAUUGGUGCUUUCUUUUUAUAUGAAGUACCUAAGUAGUAUGUAUGAGGAAAGAAAAGCAAAGGAAGUGAAAAGAUAGGGCUGCUGUGAUAUUGCCCAAAGAUUAUUUAUUGUGGGUGUCUGCUAGAUCAAAGUUAAUUUAUUUUCUCCAUUUUGGAUGAAGUUGACCUAAGUAAAUAUAAAGACAGUGUGUGCAAAAGCACACUAUGCAGGUGAAGGAGGGCAUGCCAUGAUCUAGUAUGAGGUAUAUUUAUCAUCCUAGUUGGCUUAAUCGAUAGAUGGGUCAAGUUGUACAAGUGCUGCUUAUUUUGAGAUUGGAAUUGACUGAGCAAACAUAAAUGCUUUUCUUUUUAGAGUUAUAUUUGACGGUAGAGCUUCCUAUGCAUUACUUAGAUUCUCACUUUUUAUACUCCACAUAUGUUGCUGAUGCUUUACUGCACAAAGACAAGACACAUCAUUAUCAGGCUGCCCAGCCUGAAGCGGUGCCUGUGCCAGUUUCGUCUCGGUACUCUUUUGCUGGUCUAUCAUUCCUACACCACUGACUGAAUUUGCAUCUUUAACAUACGUAUCCAUUUGUAUUUGGACUUCUGUUUAUUGGCACCUGAUGUGCAUAUGAGGCACUCUUCAGUUGCAUAAUGUAUGGAUGAGGGAACAGUUUUGGGUUCCAAAUUUGUACAGAACUGUGUAAGCGGCAUUUUGGUACC